GUAGUGUAAAUUUGCCCUAGUGAGAGUCGACUUCUCUGGUUGGUCAAGCAAAUCCCCCGAGAGUGGGUUCGACAGACCAGAGAGGCAGCCAUGGAAGCUCUCAGAGGACUUGGAGCAAUCCUACUUUCCUCGCUCGUUUUUGUCGCCCACUUCUCUCUCUUUGCUUCUUCGUCUUUUCUCUCCUCACAGGACCUGCAGAUCGUCAACGCCGAACGCAGAAUUGACUUGACUUCCCACAUUGUUAGGGUUUACUUGACUCUUAAGGUUAAAAAUAUUGGGACAUCUCCAGCUUCAGAAAUCCUUCUUGCUUUUCCACCUGUCCAAGUUGAGCACAUGGCAAUUGUCAAAGCGGCAGUGACCGCUGGAAAGAAGAAGAUGAAAUCUUAUUUACCUCUUGAUGUGAAGCCAACUGAAAUGCCUGAGGCACCAAAUGGAACUAAAUACUUCUUGAUUUCAUUACUCAAUCCGUUAAGUGUGGGAGAAUCAGUAACACUUGAAGUGCUUUAUGUAUUGACACACUCUUUAGAGCCAUUUCCAUUGGAGAUAAGUCAGUCAGAGUCGCAAUUGGUAUACUAUCAUGAUAGUGCAAUAAUAUUAUCACCGUAUCACAUUAAGAAACAAAUAACAUUUAUAAAGACACCAACUGCUAAGGUGGAAUCAUUCUCUAGAGUUGAGCCCACUGACCGUGCGGGUACAGAAAUAAAGUAUGGUCCAUAUGAAGACCGUCCUCCAUAUUCAUUUUCUCCUGUAAUUGUUCAUUUUGAGAAUAACAAUCCAUUUGCUGUUGUUGAGGAGCUUGUGAGGGAGGUGGAAAUAUCUCACUGGGGCAGCCUUCUGAUUACAGAGCAGUACAAACUGGUCCAUGCUGGAGCUCGACACAAAGGCAUCUUUUCAAGGAUCGAAUAUCAAUCCAGGCCAUCAUCUAAUGGCGCAUCUUCAUUCAAAGGACUUCUUGCAAUAUUACCACCUAGAGUUCACUCUGUCUAUUAUCGUGAUGAAAUUGGAAAUAUCUCCUCAUCGCAUUUACGUACAGAUUAUAGGAAGUCAGAAUUGGAAAUAGAGCCACGCUAUCCUUUGUUUGGGGGCUGGAAGGCCACUUUUGUCAUUGGAUAUGGGCUACCACUGCAAGACUUCCUUUUUGAGUCUUCUGAUGGUAGACGUUACUUGAACUUAAGCUUUGGAUGUCCUCUUGUUGAGACUUUGGUAGACAAGAUGACCAUCAAAGUGGUGCUGCCAGAGGGAUCAAAAGGCCCUUCUGCUGUGGUUGCUUUUCCAGUAGAACAACACCUGCAGACCAGCUAUUCAUACCUUGAUGUGGUUGGAAGGACUGUCGUAGUCUUGGAGAAGAAAAAUGUGGUUCCUGAACACAAUGCUCCUUUCCAGGUCUACUACCACUUCAACCCAAUAUUCAUGCUUGCAGAGCCAUUGAUAUUGGCUUCUGUUUUUUUCUUCUUUUUUGUGGCUUGUGUAGCUUACCUUCACGUGGAUCUUUCUAUUCAGAAAUGAAAAGCUUUACCAGGAGUCAGUUUCGGCUUGGACUGUGCGAGUGCUGCUUGAGGCUGGUGGUAGGACCAUUUGAUUCUGCGUGCACUUGCUCUUCUGAACUUUUGAAACUUAGUAGUUGAGUUGAUUAAGUUUAUUGAGGGAGUGAAACAAAUAUUUAAGUGAACAGAGGAUUGAAAACUAAAGAAUAAGGGGAAAAGGACGUGCACCAUUACUGUGAAGAAAGUUAGCAAUGAAGAUAAUUCUACAGAUAUGUUAAUUAAGUCUCUCAUUUUGGGCAAGUUUAAAUAUUGCUUAAAUUUGACUUGUAUUCCACUAUUGGCCAGUGCCAUUCUUAGGGCAUACUGGAGAAAAAUGGGUAUUGUUUACUUCAUUAUGUUUCUUGAAUUCAAAUUAAGGUUGAGAAUUCCUGAGUUUGCAUUGAA